CAUGCAAGUCGAACGGUAACAGGAAGCAGCUUGCUGCUUCGCUGACGAGUGGCGGACGGGUGAGUAAUGUCUGGGAAGCUGCCUGAUGGAGGGGGAUAACUACUGGAAACGGUAGCUAAUACCGCAUAAUGUCGCAAGACCAAAGAGGGGGACCUUCGGGCCUCUUGCCAUCGGAUGUGCCCAGAUGGGAUUAGCUUGUUGGUGGGGUAACGGCUCACCAAGGCGACGAUCCCUAGCUGGUCUGAGAGGAUGACCAGCCACACUGGAACUGAGACACGGUCCAGACUCCUACGGGAGGCAGCAGUGGGGAAUAUUGCACAAUGGGCGCAAGCCUGAUGCAGCCAUGCCGCGUGUAUGAAGAAGGCCUUCGGGUUGUAAAGUACUUUCAGCGGGGAGGAAGGGAGUAAAGUUAAUACCUUUGCUCAUUGACGUUACCCGCAGAAGAAGCACCGGCUAACUCCGUGCCAGCAGCCGCGGUAAUACGGAGGGUGCAAGCGUUAAUCGGAAUUACUGGGCGUAAAGCGCACGCAGGCGGUUUGUUAAGUCAGAUGUGAAAUCCCCGGGCUCAACCUGGGAACUGCAUCUGAUACUGGCAAGCUUGAGUCUCGUAGAGGGGGUAGAAUUCCAGGUGUAGCGGUGAAAUGCGUAGAGAUCUGGAGGAAUACCGGUGGCGAAGGCGGCCCCCUGGACGAAGACUGACGCUCAGGUGCGAAAGCGUGGGGAGCAAACAGGAUUAGAUACCCUGGUAGUCCACGCCGUAAACGAUGUCGACUUGGAGGUUGUGCCCUUGAGGCGUGGCUUCCGGAGCUAACGCGUUAAGUCGACCGCCUGGGGAGUACGGCCGCAAGGUUAAAAACUCAAAUGAAUUGACGGGGGCCCGCACAAGCGGUGGAGCAUGUGGUUUAAUUCGAUGCAACGCGAAGAACCUUACCUGGUCUUGACAUCCACGGAAGUUUUCAGAGAUGAGAAUGUGCCUUCGGGAACCGUGAGACAGGUGCUGCAUGGCUGUCGUCAGCUCGUGUUGUGAAAUGUUGGGUUAAGUCCCGCAACGAGCGCAACCCUUAUCCUUUGUUGCCAGCGGUCCGGCCGGGAACUCAAAGGAGACUGCCAGUGAUAAACUGGAGGAAGGUGAGGAUGACGCCCAGUCAUCAUGGCCCUUACGACCAGGGCUACACACGUGCUACAAUGGCGCAUACAAAGAGAAGCGACCUCGCGCGAGCAAGCGGACCUCAUAAAGUGCGUCGUAGUCCGGAUUGGAGUCUGCAACUCGACUCCAUGUAGUC
rnacentral:rRNA from 1 species